rnacentral:misc_RNA from 1 species
AAGUCGUAACAAGGUUUCCGUAGGUGAACCUGCGGAAGGAUCAUUACCGAAUCAUGUGGGCCGAGCCGCGCAUCAUCUGCCGGCCCGAGUCUGCUUUGCAACCCUUCUUGUAUGGCAGGCCGUUGAACCGUAACGGCCUGCCAUAUGUGUCUCGCUUCUUUUCACCACACAAAACCUGUCAUUGCCUAUACAAGAUAUCUAAUAUAUAACUUUCAACAACGGAUCUCUUGGCUCUC